rnacentral:tRNA from 1 species
UGGGUUGUAGCACAGUGGCAGAGUGCUUGCCUAUCAUGUGAGAGGCUCUGGGUUCAAUCCCAGCACCAA